GUCAGGACUUUCUACUCCCACACUUCAAGAAGCGAACCACCCCUCACGUCCUCUCUCCCUGACCAGGCAACCCCCAGAGACUGGCCAUUGUAAAAAGACUUUGUGCUUCACCUGUCAAGUUCCAGAGCAUUCCCUCAUUGUCGAUUUCUCGCGGACCAGAGGCGCCCCCUUGUGGUCGGGUGAUUCCACAGACCCAUCUGCUGAUCCUCGGGCAUUGUAGAAGCUGCCGACGAUGGUGAUGCUCCAUCUGACACGCUGUCCCCAGGGCUUUCCGGAGUGAAGCCUGAGGUGAUCUCCUGGCUGGAAGGAAGAUACCUGAGGACUGGAGGAGAGGUGUGUGUGCAGAAGUUAAAUCACAUCUCCAGGAGUUUUCUCUGAAGCAAUUUGAUUUGGGAAUUGGGUCUGCGAAUACGAGUGAGUUGGGAAGCAGCCAGCCCUGGUGGAAUGUCUCUGAUCCUGCGCUCUGUGACAAUGUCUCGAGUGAGCAGUCCCACCCUCUUCCCCCUGGGGAUGCCGAGACAGGCAGGAUGUCUUCUGAGGGUGAUCAGAAUGGAGAGAGCGACCUCAUUCUGAAGAAGCCCUCCCCUGAGAAAAAUCUCCUUCCAGUCUGUCGUCCUCAGUUUUGGGAAACAA